AACGAACGCUGGCGGCAGGCCUAACACAUGCAAGUCGAGCGGACCCUUCGGGGUUAGCGGCGGACGGGUGAGUAACGCGUGGGAAUAUGCCCUUCUCUACGGAAUAGUCCUGGGAAACUGGGGGUAAUACCGUAUACGCCCUUUGGGGGAAAGAUUUAUCGGGGAAGGAUUAGCCCGCGUUGGAUUAGGUAGUUGGUGGGGUAAUGGCCUACCAAGCCGACGAUCCAUAGCUGGUUUGAGAGGAUGAUCAGCCACACUGGGACUGAGACACGGCCCAGACUCCUACGGGAGGCAGCAGUGGGGAAUCUUAGACAAUGGGGGCAACCCUGAUCUAGCCAUGCCGCGUGAGUGAUGAAGGCCUUAGGGUUGUAAAGCUCUUUCAGCUGGGAAGAUAAUGACGGUACCAGCAGAAGAAACCCCGGCUAACUCCGU
rnacentral:rRNA from 1 species